UACGUAGGGGGCGAGCGUUGUCCGGAGUUACUGGGCGUAAAGGGCGUGCAGGCGGUGCGGUAAGUUUAGCGUGACAGUCUCCGGCUUAACUGGAGAAGGCCGCUGAAAACUGCUGGACUUGAGGGCCAGAAGAGGGACAUAGAAUUCCGGGUGGAGUGGUGAAAUGCGUAGGAUAUCCGGAGGAAUACCAAAGGCGAAGGCAGUGUCCUGGCUGGCAACUGACGCUGAGGCGCGAAAGCUAGGGGAGCGAACAGGA
rnacentral:rRNA from 1 species